AUUGAACGCUGGCGGCAGGCCUAACACAUGCAAGUCGAACGGUAACAGGAAGAAGCUUGCUUCUUUGCUGACGAGUGGCGGACGGGUGAGUAAUGUCUGGGAAACUGCCUGAUGGAGGGGGAUAACUACUGGAAACGGUAGCUAAUACCGCAUAACGUCGCAAGACCAAAAAGGGGGACCUUCGGGCCUCUUGCCAUCGGCUGUGCCCAGAUGGGAUUAGCUAGUAGGUGGGGUAUCGGCUCACCUAGGCGACGAUCCCUAGCUGGUCUGAGAGGAUGACCAGCCACACUGGAACUGAGACACGGUCCAGAUCCCUACGGGAGGCAGCAGUGGGAAUAUUGCACAAUGGGCGCAAGCCUGAUGCAGCCAUGCCGCGUGUAUGAAGAAGGCCUUCGGGUUGUAAAGUACUUUCAGCGGGGAGGAAGGGAGUAAAGUUAAUACCUUCGCUCAUUGACGUUACCCGCAGAAGAAGCACCGGCUAACUCCGUG
rnacentral:rRNA from 1 species